GACGAACGCUGGCGGCGUGCUUAACACAUGCAAGUCGAACGGAGAAGCACCUUCCUUUCGGCGGGUGUGGUUGCGUGGCGAACGGGUGAGUAACACGUGAGUAACCUGUCCCCUUCUUCUGGAUAACCGCAUGAACGGGUGGCUAAUACGGGAUAAUCUGGAUCUGUCGCAUGCCGGGCCGGGGAAAGACAUUGCUAUGGCGGGUGAUGGGCUCGCGGUCUAUCAGCUUGUUGGUGGGGUGAUGGCCUACCAAGGCGGUGACGGGUAGCCGGCCUGAGAGGGUGGACGGUCACACUGGGACUGAGACACGGCCCAGACUCCUACGGGAGGCAGCAGUGGGGAAUAUUGCACAAUGGGCGCAAGCCUGAUGCAGCGACGCCGCGUGAGGGAUGGAGGCCUUCGGGUUGUAAACCUCUUUCGCCAGUGAAGCAGGCCUGUCCCUUUUGUGGGUGGGUUGACGGUAGCUGGAGAAGAAGCGCCGGCUAACUACGUG
rnacentral:rRNA from 1 species